AAAAUUUUAAGAAUUGAUUAAUUACUUAUGAUGAACAAGACAAAGAUUUUAAUUUAAUAUUAAAUACCUAAAACAGGAAUGCAAGGAUAUAAUAAAGAAAUAAAGUGAAGCGAUAAAGCACACCACAAACACAAGGAUUUAUAGUGGUUCGGUGCCAACCCUGCACCUACAUCCACUCCCCAAGCUCCUACUUGGGAAUUUCAAUCCACUAUGCUUGUAUUCAACCUGAAUACAAAACGUCGGAAACUCCGACACUAGCUAUCCCAAGCUAGAUCACUUGUUUCCCGGGUACAAGUAAACCCAAAAUACUUCGAUUUCAGGUUCGGAUCAACCUUUCCUUGUUUUGGAAAUCCUCC
rnacentral:lncRNA from 1 species